rnacentral:tRNA from 2 species
GGGCGAUUAACUCAGCGGUAGAGUGUCUGCCUUACAAGCAGAAGGCCGGGGGUUCAAAUCCCUCAUCGCCCA